rnacentral:lncRNA from 13 species
CUUAAGAUAUGAUGCUUUUAUACGUGGAUGUAUUCAUCUCUUCAAAGCACAACAGCGUGGCUGUGGCGACCGUAGCGACCUGUCAUGCGGUGAGAUGCCACCGAGCCCAUUGAGAGGAUUCAGCAUUGGCUGUCACCCUCCUCCAACCCCUCUUCACAGAUAUAGAAUAGCUCCUCUGCCACUAAAACACCAUGAUACUCUUUCAAGUGUUCUGCCAUUGAUGCAGCCGGGAGGGAGAAUGGGAAGCUUUGAUCAAUGUUAUCUCCAUGUAAAUUGCCCCUGGCCCUGGGGGUGGAGACACAUACUGGUGGCUGCUCUGACUGCUCUCUAACCUUGCUGAUUGUGUUUAGGGGACGUGCCGCCAGGAAAACGCAUCAAUCCCAGAGGGCAGAGAAGCUCCAUCUUCCUUUCCCUGUUCCUGGCCAGCUGUCAUCUAGGCAUGGUGAUGCGAGCGCAGAGUUAGACGAGUUGUCUCUCCCGGUGACGACAUUAGGCUACUGUCAUUCAGCGGGUGUGAGGACGGAAUGGGAGGAAGAGGGAAGUGAACCGGAUGGAAGCAAUGCUUCAAGGGCUCUGUCUGGUGGGGCUCGGCAGCUCCUCAACCCGGCCUGGAGACUCCUCGGCUCCCUCCCUCCCUACCUCCCUCUGGCUCCAAUGGUGUAA